UGCUUCUUUUUGGUCAUAUAGACAGUGACAUAAAGUCUCCCGGCUUUGAGCUAAAAGAGUGAAAACCGAGAUAAAAACAGUGCAUAUUUUCUAUGCCUUGGAUACAUCCAUCAAGAUUAUUGGGGUUCAGCGCCGCCGCCGCAAUGUAGGUAUCAUUGAAAGUAGAAUAUGAUAUUAAAUGAGAUUCUCUUUCAGAUUAUUGUUGCUAUAAUGGAAGUAUGAUUGUUGAUAUUAAAAUGCGUCUUUUUUCAGAUUAUCCAGUGUGGCCUCACUAUAGUAUGUAUUAUUGAAUACGAAUGUUGUUUCAUAUAAUAAUAAGUCAUCUUUCAGGUCAUUCGUGCGGGGCUCCGUAAGCGAACAAUUGAUAAGCAAUGUGAUGAAUGUUGAUUUAAUGUUUUCUUUCAGAAUCUAAGAACUGGCUAUAGUUAAUAAAUUAUGUAUAUUCUUUACAUGUACUGUCUUGUGUUUUUAUUUGUUCCGUUACAGGUGGUGAAGGUUUUUCGGCUGGGUUUUUCUCCUUCACAUGAUUGGCAUCACGAUUGGUAUUACAAUUCCCAGCACUAUUGGCAUUACAAUUUACAAUAUAAUUGGCUUUAAUAAAUAUAUUUCAACUUGUA